AUCUUCCGCAAUGGGCGAAAGCCUGACGGAGCAACGCCGCGUGAGUGAUGAAGGGUUUCGGCUCGUAAAACUCUGUUAUUAGGGAAGAACAAAUGUGUAGGUAACUGUGCACAUCUUGACGUUACCUAAUCAGAAAGCCACGCCUAACUACGUCCCAGCAGCCGCGGUAAUACGUAGGUGGCAAGCGUUAUCCGGAAUUAUUGGGCGUAAAGCGCGCGUAGGCGGUUUCUUAAGUCUGAUGUGAAAGCCCACGGCUCAACCGUGGAAGGUCAUUGGAAACUGGGAAAAUUGAGUGCCGAAGAGGAAAGUGGAAUUCCAUGUGUAGCGGUGAAAUGCGCAGAGAUAUGGAGGAACACCAGUGGCGAAGGCGACUUUCUGGUCUGUAACUGACGCUGAUGUGCGAAAGCGUGGGGAUCAAACA
rnacentral:rRNA from 1 species